CACACAUGGAGCUUGCUCCCAGAGAUGCUGCGAGGAAAGUCCCCGUGCCUUGGUGCAGAGAGUGCGAGUGCGAGUGGGAGACCGCAGGGCUGGUGCCAAUCCCUCCAGUGGUGAUGUUUCUUGCGGAGCUUUGGUGGGGGCUCUGGCCCUUCGCAGCAACACAGACAUGC
rnacentral:RNase_MRP_RNA from 14 species